UGCCUGUCGCUUGUCUUCUAUUCACCA
rnacentral:piRNA from 2 species